UACGUAGGUGGCAAGCGUUGUCCGGAUUUACUGGGCGUAAAGAGCGCGCAGGCGGUCGUUCAAGUCGAGUGUGAAAGCCCCCGGCUCAACUGGGGAGGGUCACUCGAUACUGAUCGACUUGAAGGCAGGAGAGGGAAGCGGAAUUCCCGGUGUAGUGGUGAAAUGCGUAGAUAUCGGGAGGAACACCGGUGGCGAAGGCGGCAUUCUGGACCGACAUUGACGCUGAGGAGCGAAAGCCAGGGGAGCAAACGGG
rnacentral:rRNA from 1 species